rnacentral:lncRNA from 1 species
GUCCUUAUACUGUAACUCAUUUGAUAAUGAGCCAUUAUCAAAUAGCCUCCUAUUGUUAUUUGUGUUGUUUUUCUUCUUUAACUGUUACAAAAAAUGAUCAUAAAGAAAACCUUAUGAAAAUAUUAUUUGGUACAUAUGAAAGUGUAUGUUCAGGUUAAACUUCUAGAGAUACCAUUGCUAGGUGUAGGAUAAGACUUUAAUUAUAUUAGAGUUUUCAAAAUUCUCUUCUAAAGGAUAUGUGCCAUUGUUAUUAUUUAGUAGGAGAAAAUUUAAAACAAAAUGUAAAAAAUGUUUAAAAUAUUCACGUGAUUGAAUGAUAUUCAGUCCUUUAAAUUAUGAAUAGUAAAAUGCAUUCAUUAACAUUACAGUAAAAUAAUAUUCAUCUAUUUGACAUGUCAAAAACAUAUAUGAAGACAUGUAUAUGUACUUGUAAUAUAUUUAUACAUAAUCCAGCAUUUAUAUGAUUAUUUUAACAUACUAAAACCAAAGUGGAGAAAAAAAAAAACUUCCAAAAGUAUAGAAAAUAAUACACUCACACCAAGUAUUUUUUUACAUUUUUAUGAAUUACAUAAAUUCUUUUUAGUUUUGUACUUUUAUGACAUAUAAUUGUGUCAUAUUACUGAUACUCCUGCAAAGAAAAGUUAAUCUUUUCAGACUCAAUUAGGGUCUGUAGCAUCUUUUUCAUAAAUUAAAAAAAAAAAACACUUCAUCCUGGCACGGUGGCUCACCCAGGACUUCUUAUUAUAUAAUCUCACUUAGUACACUAGAUACUC